rnacentral:rRNA from 1 species
UACAGAGGUCUCGAGCGUUAGACGGAAUCACUGGGCUUAAAGCGUACGUAGGCGGGCAUGCAGGCGUCGUGUGAAAUCCCUCGGCUCAACCGAGGAAUUGCACGGCGAACCGCAUGCCUUGAGACAAGUAGGGGCGGUCGGAACGAUAGGUGGAGUGGUGAAAUGCGUUGAUAUCUAUCGGAACGCCGAAGGUGAAGACAGGCCGCUGGGCUUGCUCUGACGCUGAGGUACGAAAGCGUGGGUAGCGAACGGG